rnacentral:rRNA from 1 species
GACGAACGCUGGCGGCGUGCUUAACACAUGCAAGUCGAACGGAAAGGCCCUGCUUUUGUGGGGUGCUCGAGUGGCGAACGGGUGAGUAACACGUGAGUAACCUGCCCUUGACUUUGGGAUAACUUCAGGAAACUGGGGCUAAUACCGGAUAGGAGCUCCUGCUGCAUGGUGGGUGUUGGAAAGUUUCGGCGGUUGGGGAUGGACUCGCGGCUUAUCAGCUUGUUGGUGGGAUAGUGGCUUACCAAGGCUUUGACGGGUAGCCGGCCUGGGAGGGUGACCGGCCACAUUGGGACUGAGAUACGGGCCAGACUCCUACGGGAGGCAGCAGUGGGGAAUAUUGCACAAUGGGCGGAAGCCUGAUGCAGCAACGCCGCGUGCGGGAUGACGGCCUUCGGGUUGUAAACCGCUUUCGCCUGUGACGAAGCGUGAGUGACGGUAAUGGGUAAAGAAGCACCGGCUAACUACGUG